AUGCUUGAAUACAAUAAAAUAAUUUUCAUAUGCUACGGGACGGAGUACUACGGUAGAACACUAGUCCUAACACUAACAUCUCGGUCAAUCUCUAUACUGACAUCUCGGCUAAUCUCAACUCUAACAUUCUGAUUAAUCUCAUUCCAAUAGGACUGGCGCCCAGAGAGCAAAGCUCGAUCAGGGACCUUACCUCCAGUCUGGUCACUUGUCUUAGCCUUUCGGCUCUCUUAAUCCAACAGGUCUGGCGCCCAGAGAGCAAGCUCGAUCAGGGACCUUAUCUCCAGCCUAAACACUUGAUUUCCAGCUAAGCCGGCACCCAGAGAGCAAGCUCGAUCAGGGACCUUACCUCCGACAAACACACUCUACU
rnacentral:lncRNA from 1 species